CCUACGGGUGGCUGCAGUGAGGAAUAUUGGUCAAUGGACGAGAGUCUGAACCAGCCAAGUAGCGUGAAGGAUGACUGCCCUAUGGGUUGUAAACUUCUUUUAUAUGGGAAUAAAAUGUUCCACGUGUGGGAUUUUGUAUGUACCAUAUGAAUAAGGAUCGGCUAACUCCGUGCCAGCAGCCGCGGUAAUACGGAGGAUCCGAGCGUUAUCCGGAUUUAUUGGGUUUAAAGGGAGCGUAGGUGGAUUGUUAAGUCAGUUGUGAAAGUUUGCGGCUCAACCAUAAAAUUGCAGUUGAUACUGGCAGUCUUGAGUACAGUAGAGGUGGGCGGAAUUCGUGGUGUAGCGGUGAAAUGCGUAGAGAUCACGAAGAACUCCGAUUGCGAAGGCAGUUCACUGGACUGCAACUGACACUGAGGCUCGAAAGUGUGGGUAUCAAACAGGAUUAGAUACCCCAGUAGUC
rnacentral:rRNA from 1 species